GAUUCGACCCCGUCUCUUGUACGGGCUGGGAAACCUAAAUCCAAGCGCGGACCGGGGUCACCCAAGGUUGCAGCGCCGAGUGUCAGAGCGAGAACAAGAGCUUUCCCAAUCUCGGUUCUUUCCAUUACACUGCGCUGUCAUCUCAUUUCGGCAAGCCUCAAACAACGGCAAAGCAUCCACUGAAAUCAUCACCAUCCCCGAAUCGGACCAGCCACGGGGGAAAAAAAAAAGCAACCAUCUGCGUGCGCUCGGCGUUAACGCCAGGGCUCUCCACCACCUCAGCGGGGAGUAGCCUGCCCUCCAGGAGCUCACUCCGACUCCCAGGUCCUAUUUUGGCAGGAUUUACGACAAAAUCGCAGGACGGCUGGAAACAAAACCUAAAGAAUGAUGAGUUCGCAGAAAAAAAUCGUCCACACCAAGCAGGGAACCACGCCCAGAGGCAACCCAAUGGGGCGGUGGAGAACGGAGAGCGGAAAACAGGGAGAGGAAUAAGAGACAAGGGGCCCGGGAGAAGGUGCCUUCCACGUGUCAAGUUUUCUGCAGGAGGCGGUGCGGUGGACAGGUUUUGCCUCUGGAAUACAAGAUGCGAGACCCUGCCCAGUUUCCAGUCAUCCUGUGCAGGGGGAUGCUUUCGGUCACCACCCUGUACAGAGGUCUUGGGGCCUUGGGCUACCUUAAGUUUCUGGGCCCACCACCUGUGCGAGCACCAUCCGAAACCACUCCAGCUGCUGCCCCGUCUACCCGCUGCAAGACAGAGAACCCGGUCAAGGAAUCCUGACAUGGUUGGACCCCUUCCCUCACCUCACACACCACCAAUUAUAUUCUGUCUGGAACCUGGUGAUGACCCAGUGUUGCAGGAAUGCAAAAGAAGGAGAAGGGAUUGUGACCAGGGAACAGAGAAGCGUAGCAAGAGCCUCUGAGACCUGAACAGCUUUGAGCAGGAACGUGAGCGAUUACCGAGAGGAAAAGGACAUUCUGGGCAGAGGGAGCAGCUCAUGCAACAGGCAUUGAUUGCGAAGGUGUACGGUGUGCUCAGGGGAUGGCUCUGAUGGCCUGGUUGGUGCGGUGCGACAUUGGACACAUGGAGCAAAGACCGAAGGAGGGACUGCUGUGAGACGAGAUGGCAGGAAAGUGGACUUGAAAUUCAGUGGGCUUUGAACCCCGGGCUUAAGUGUGGAACUCUUUACUGUAGGCAAUGGGAUAUCACUAAAGGCUUUUUGAGCAUUGCGCUGACACAAUUACUAACCUUUUCUCUGUCUUAUAUCCAUGAAGAAGCACUUUCAUUUUUCCUACCUUUGGCUUUUAAAAAAUGAGCCCUAUAUGGUCAGCACGUCACGAUCACCAUCUUUCCGAGGCCAUCAGAUGCAGCCCCUGCCUUUUGGCAGAUACAGAGCAUGUCCCCAAUGUACACGUGAGGCAAAGGAGGUUCGGGGACGUAAGGCGACCUAGACAGUUAGUGAGUGAGGCUCAGUGAGGACUCAGAUCUCCUGAAACCCAGGCCAGCUUUUCGAACAUACACAUCAUGCGUUCUCAGACCUCAUACACAUUCAGUUAUGAAAAAGAGAGAGCACACUACUUCUUUUUUUUUUCAGAUUUUAUUUAUUUAUUUUGAGAGAGAGGGGAAGGGUGGGAGAAAGAGAGAAAGAAACAUCAAUGUGU